GCUUCAUGAUGCCAUUUUUUCAACAAGAAAUAAACUGAUCUUACAGUAGGAACCCUGCAAGAUUUAUAAUGCCAAAUUCUUUUUAGUUCAUGAGGAUUAGCUGCCAGCGGAAUUUUAAUAAUUUCCUUCCUAUCUUGCACUGAGAAUGAGGCUACUGUAAUGAAAUUGUUCUAAUACAUUCAAAUAAAACUAAUUAAAAUUUCCUUUCCAUAUUACAACCACGAAAAUAAUACUAAAAGGCGAAUAAACUGAUUAACAAGUAACGCGUGACCCGAAUUAAAGUAGUCAUCGGAUAUACUCACUCAACCAUACUCAUGACACUUGGAUCACUUUGUAAAGAUAAGGAUUCCAUUAUUCCUACCUUAAUCAGAGUUCCAUACCUAAUAUGUAAAAUGGACUCCUAGUCCCACUCAAUCACACUCCUCAUCCCACUCAAUCAUAGACUCCUAAUCCCAACAGAAUCUACGCCAAAGCACUAUAUAAAGGGCUUACCUAUCCUAUCAUAGUCUAGUUAGAAAUCUACAACAAAGCACUAUAUAAGGGCCUUACCUAUCCUAUCACAUUCCAGUUCUUAUUAUUAACUUAGACAUUGGAGCAGUAGUUAAUUAACUAACCUCAUUCUUAUUUCUUACAGAUUCAAUACUUGAACUUGACAUACAUAACCCACAGGAAAGGAAAACAACAUCACUUUUAAAAAGAAAAAUAAAAU
rnacentral:misc_RNA from 1 species